CGAAGAUCCCUCCCAAAGCACCCAUUGCCUGGGAAGUUCUGGUGUUAACAUGUUAUGGAGCAGCUGCACACGGUGUUGCACAGGACUUAACUUCGCGUCCUUGGCUUGCUUAGAGAGGGUGCUUCAAAACAAAUGUGCCUUUUGAGAAAUUGUGGCACAUCAAGUUAUUUGAAUUGGUCAUGUGAAGGAUUUUAGAUGCAUCCCUGAAUCUCCAGUAAGGUGUGUAGUUUCUGGGUGAGACCAAGGAAAAGCUGUGUAGCUGAAGUAGAAAAUGAAAAAUACAACCUGCAAUGGCAUCUUCUUAGUGUUGGAAAUUCUCUUUUUAGGUUACUCUGCUGUGAGCCAGAGAGUGCAGCUUUCUGACCAGACGCUGCAAUUUCCUGGACAGAGCCACUUCCUGUUAUUCAAAGGGAGCUGAUUCACUUCAACUGAUAAAGUUAUUUUGUGUUUGAGUAGGUUUCUUUACUGCAAGAGUCAGGAAUGCUUGGCACAUGUUAAAUGGUGGUUUCCAAAUCCCACAACGUGCUAUGGGCAUUCCAAGUGCUACAUCAUUAAUCAGCUGAUUUAAUUUACACUAAAAACAUCAUGAUGCAGUAAUUGUCAUUAGAGGCUAAAGCAGAGGGGAUAGGAACUCUUAGUAAAAGAGAAGGUAACAUAUAACAGAGUAAAGAAAGGCUCAGUUACAGCCACCUGGAGAAUGGCAAAAGGGAAAUCUGACACUCACAACCGGUCAGAUCCCCAGUCCACUGGAAUCACUACAUUUGGAAGAAGGUAAAACUCUGUUUCAUUUAAUAUCCUGUGCAUCAACGUGGUCAAUGAGCAUAACAGAACUGGUAUUUAUGGAGAGAUUGCUCUUUGGAUAGCUGGAGGAAAAGAGAAACUGGGGAAAGAAGUGGAGGGGAAAGUAAUUGGCAUAAAAAGCAAGGGCCACAUUAGAGAAAAAAACAGAUUCCCUACUGAAUUUAUCACUGGGCUUGGGGAGCUGUUUGUUUUAAUUUCAAAACUAUUCAUCAACAAAGUAUAGAAAAAGGGAACACAGAAUUUUAAGUCCAGUGUGUUUAGUCUUCUAGUGCUUCUUCAGCAUUCAAGAUACAGUUCUGCUUCCAAAGCAGCAGCUUUACCUGUCAGUCAGGAAAGCAGGACAUGAAAGUCAAGUGACAGUAAGUACGCUGUGCUUAAAAUAGAAUGCCUUUUGCUCCAGAAUUUCAAAAUGCAACAAAAGACACUCCUAAAGUAAGAGUCCCUUCACAAUGCUCUGUAAAAGGUACCAGUAUUACACUUUUCCCCCUAAAAGGAAGUUCAGGAAGCUUCAAAUAUUUCUUGUAAAAGGAAUACUUUAAAAAAUUUCUGACUCUCCAUAAAGACCUUAUUAACAGUAUAUCCCAAUUUAAAUAAUCUUUUAAAGAUUACUUGUCUCUUUUUUCUUCCUCUCCUUUAUAUUUGUGAGAUCUUUUUCAGUAGGGGAAAAGUGUGAUGGCAGUAGCUAUGCUUUUUCAAUGCAAAUUGGUAACUGCAGUGCCCGUAUCAGGAUCCACAUAUACCAAUUUGAGAAUGGAGCUGUAUUACUAUAUUUAUAUAACAAAUAACCUUCCACAGGCAAAGAAAGCAAAUAGAAUUUCUUCUGGCUUCAUUAAAAAUAAACUAAAAUAUUUUAAAUUAACUUUGAUUCAUCUUUGUGUGUCUAUGUGUGCUUAUAUGUAUUUGCUGUCCUCUGUUACUCCUAGGUCUCUUUCAGGUUCACGAAUUACCUGGAAAUACCUGUAGCUUUGGAGAAAUUUCUUUGGAGCAUUGUGUCACAUCUUCUACAGCAUGAUAUUCUGUUCCCUAAGUUGCUUCUCCUGGUUUGCUGGAGACUCAGGGACAAUCACCCCCUCUCCUAAAGAACUUGGAGAUUAAUGGUGCUGGAGUUGGAGAAGAAAUGUAGCUGUUGUACCUUAUCUCAGCUUCCAGUGCAGUGGGAGGAAGCGCUGUGGACGGACUCUCACUUCCCUUCAGUUUUGUCUGCCUGCACUUCACGCAUAUACGAGUCAAUGAUGUGCGGAGGCACUCCAUCCAUUAAUAGCUUGAAGAAUGAAAGCCCACCUACAAAGGAGGAAAACAGCUGUUGUCAGUGAGAGUCCCAGCAAAGCUCAGCCUUUUCCUGGAGUUCUGCCUCUUCACUGAGUUAUCUGUGCAUUAACUGUUAUAGCACAGCAUUUAUGAUUUCUUCCACACUGCAUUUGUGACAAACUUACUAUGAAUUUUCUACCAUUACUGUCUAUGGGUACCAUUCAACAGGAAAAAUCUUGGAUCCUGGAUAGACAAGAACCUGAGGGGCUUAACAGAGAAAAAAAGAGACUGACACAUUCCAACAACGCUAUGGUGUAUGGAGGUUUCCUGAGAGACCCCAAAUCUACAGCCAAGUAAUUGAACAUGGAGAGAUAUCCAAGAAAGAUGUGAGCAUUCCCAUUUUCCUGUAGCCUUGGAACAGCUGGAUUCAUUUCUGUUUCUCCAAACAUACCAACAAUCUGAAUGUCUAUCGUGGCUUUGUCCACCAGGUUCUCCACCUCCACUUUCAUGUCGUACUCUCCGGAGUGGCCCCGCUCUGCCUUCCGGAUGAAGAUGAUGGUGUCCUGCUCUGUGUUGCGGAUGUUGAUGUCGUUCUUGUCGAUCGGAGAACCGUUCUUCUCCCAUGACACUUUCGCUCUUGGUUUUCCCUGCAAGGAGCCAGGAAACAAUUUUUGUAUUAUUUUUUUGGAGAGAAAAAGGAAGAGAUGGAAGCAGGUUUAAUUACCAUUUUUACCAAACAGGAAGUGUCCUAGGUUACAAUAUAAAAAUGUAUUCCAUUCCCAUCCUCAAGAGUUGCUGAAACCAGGAGGGGCAUUGGGUUUUUUUUUCCUUAUCUCCUGUUAAUGGGCCCAUCAAUGCCUUGCCACAUGACUCAGAGACAACUCCCUCCAGGAGCCAUUUCUGUUUAAUGGGCAAUCAAGGACCCACCACACGACUCAUAGAAUGAUAUCAGCCCAUUGUGAGAUGCUCUGCCCAGGGGGGAGGAGCUAAGCAUCCUCACCUGGAUAUAAUCUGGGUUUGGGACAGAGCAGUCAGUCUUUCCACUGCAUUCUCAGAGGAAUAACUGCCUUUUCCACUGGAUCUUCAGAGGACGACUACACCCUUUCUACAGGAUCCCUGCUCCAAGAGAACCACAUCUGCCCCUCCAGGACUGCAGCCACCAAUCCAACUAGACUGCUCAACCAAUACCCUGACCAACAGGAUGUCAGGUUGUGUUCUGACUAAAACUACUGACUUUUCUUUUGUAUUACUGGAUGUAUUUUGGUUUUCUUUUCCCUUUUCCUAAUAAAUUGUAUUUCUGA